CGAGGUCAAGUCAUUGACAUGAGUAUGUAGUUGCUACUAUUUCCACAAUCAUGUUAUACCAUACACCGUGAGUUGUUUUCAUUCAUGUGUAUACUUUUCCCGACAGGGUAAGAGCUAUUCCAACAUCAUUUCCAUGAAAUGUUGUAUUACUUACACGCCAUCAAUCGCUACGGUGUAGCGUACCUCACCAAUAUACCUUUCGAACAAUGGACACAAUAGUAUGACAGGUGUCUACGAUAUGGGCACAUGACGACAAACUUAGCCAAAUGCAUCAAUUCUGUACUAAAUAGGACUCAUCAUUAUCGAUAACCUCAGUUGUCAAAGAAAUGUACUUUUUCCUAGUUGUUUUAUUUUCAA
rnacentral:lncRNA from 1 species